CUCCUUCCCUGCGCCCCUGUCUGGAAAAGAGGAGACCUGGAAGCCGGGUUAAACUUUAACACGGGUCGGGCACAGAGCAGGGGGAAUCAGCUGCAUUCCCUCUGGCCAAGCUGGUCAGAGCUCUGCGGGCUGCCGUCCUUGGCCAAGAGCGUGUGGGCUAGCUCCGGUCUCUGCCCAGGCUGGUAAACAAGGGCGUGGAAAAGAUACCCCAGUCUGCGGUGACGAGGACUCCAGUGCCCGAAGUGCAGCUCGCCCAGCCCUAGCUCAGUGCCGAGCCCUUAGCGUGGACUGGGCUGGCCCCGGAAGCCCCCACGGGCUCUACCUGACCCUGCAGAGACAGGGUUUCACCAUGCUGGCCAUGCUGCUCUCGAAGUCCUAACCUCAGGUGAUCCACCCGCCUCAGCCUCUCAAAGUGCUGGGAUUACAGGUGUGAGCCACUGCGCCCAGCAGGAAUAUUCCUAAAUAUAAGAGGUGUGUCUGCCACCCGCCCUUCUCAAGUGGAGCUCUGGGUCGAGAGAGGGAGGGGGUGAAUUUUGGGCUAAGGAGCCUGCUGAUGUCACUUUUCUUGUCUUUUCAAUUAUCUGUAUUGGCUUUUUGAUUGUCAAAGUAAAAAAAUGUGAAGA
rnacentral:lncRNA from 1 species